rnacentral:sRNA from 1 species
GCAGUGGUGUUUACAACUAAUUGAUCACAACCAGUUACAGAUUCCUUUGUUCCUUCUCCACUCCCACUGCUUCAC